rnacentral:rRNA from 1 species
GGGGUUGGGAGUGGCGCACGGCUGAGGAACACGUGGGUGACCUGCCCUGGUGUGGGGGACAACGUACCGAAAGGUGCGCUAAUCCCGCAUACGCUCCUACGGGAGGAAAGCAGCGAUGCGCACCAGGAGGGGCCUGCGGCCCAUCAGGUGGUUGGUGAGGUAACGGCUCACCAAGCCGAUGACGGGUCCCUGGUCUGAGAGGACGACCAGGCAGACUGGGACUGAGACACGGCCCAGACUCCUACGGGAGGCAGCAGCAAGGGAUUUUCCGCAAUGGGCGCAAGCCUGACGGAGCAACGCCGCGUGCCGGAGGACGGCCUUCGGGUUGUAAACGGCUUUUAUCGGGGAAGAAACGGACGGUACCCGAGGAAUAAGCCCCGGCUAACUCCGUGCCAGCAGCCGCGGUAAUACGGAGGGGGCAAGCGUUGUCCGGACUUACUGGGCGUAAAGCGUGCGUAGGCGGCAGGGUGCGUCGGUGCUGAAAGCGCCCCGCUUAACGGGGCGAGGGGUACCGAUACGACCCCGCUCGAGGCAGUCAGAGGUUGGUAGAAUUCCGGGUGUAGUUGUGAAAUGCGUAGAUACCCGGAGGAAUGCCGGUGGCGAAAGCGACCAACUGGGGCUGGCCUGACGCUGAGGCACGAAAGCGUGGGGAGCGAACCGGAUUAGAUACCCGGGUAGUCCACGCCGUAAACGAUGUCGGCUUGGUGUUCGGCAGUAUGAAAGUGCUGCUGAGUGCCGAAGCUCACGCGCUAAGCCGACCGNCUGGGGACUACGAGCGCAAGCUUAAAACUCCAAGGACUUGACGGGGGCCCGCACAAGCAGCGGAGCGUGUGGUUUAAUUCGACGCAAACGCGAAGAACCUUACCCAGGUUNUGACAUGUGGCUGCAAGCGCACAGAAAUGUGUGACCUUCGAGGGUGCCACACAGGUGCUGCAUGGCUGUCGUCAGCUCGUGUCGUGAGAUGUUGGGUUAAGUCCCGCAACGAGCGCAACCCCUGCUGCCAGUUACUCGUGUCUGGUGGGACUGCCUUCGCUAACGGAGGAGGAAGGCGGGGAUGACGUCAAGUCCGCAUGGCCCUUACACCUGGGGCGACACACACGCUACAAUGGCCAGCACAAUGCGUCGCAAGCACGCAAGUGUUAGCUAAUCGCCGGAGCUGUCUCAGUACAGAUCGGGGGUGCAACUCGCCCCCGUGAAGGUGGAGUUGCUAGUAACCGCGUAUCAGCCAUGGCGCGGUGAUACGUGCCCGGGCCUUGUACACACCGCCCGUCACGUCAUGGGAGUCGGCAAUGCCUGAAG